AGGGCACCACCAGGAGUGGAGCCUGCGGCUUAAUUUGACUCAACACGGGAAAGCUCACCCGGCCCGGACACCGUAAGGAUUGACAGAUUGAGAGCUCUUUCUUGAUUCGGUGGUUGGUGGUGCAUGGCCGUUCUUAGUUGGUGGAGCGAUUUGUCUGGUUUAUUCCGAUAACGAACGAGACUCUGGCCUACUAAAUAGUGACAGGAUUAUUACUGUCUUGGAUACUUCUUAGAGGGACAAGUGGUUUUCAGCCACACGAAAUUGAGCAAUAACAGGUCUGUGAUGCCCUUAGAUGUCCGGGGCUGCACGCGCGCUACACUGAAGGAAUCAGCGUGCUAAAACCAUUGUCGAAAGGCAUUGGUAAACCCAUUAAAUCCUACGUGAUUGGGAUCGGGAAUUGCAAUUAUUUCCCUUGAACGAGGAAUUCCCAGUAAGUGUGGGUCAUAAGCUCGCGUUGAUUACGUCCCUGCCCUUUGUACACACCGCCCGUCGCUGCCCGGGACUGAGCCGUUUCGAGAA
rnacentral:rRNA from 1 species